UACGGAGGGUGCAAGCGUUGUUCGGAAUCACUGGGCGUAAAGCGCGUGUAGGCGGCUAUCUAAGUCUGAUGUGAAAGCCCUGGGCUCAACUCAGGAAGUGCAUUGGAUACUGGAUAGCUGGAGUACCGGAGAGGAGGGUGGAAUUCCUGGUGUAGCGGUGAAAUGCGUAGAUAUCAGGAGGAACACCGGUGGCGAAGGCGGCCCUCUGGCCGGAUACUGACGCUGAGACGCGAAAGCGUGGGGAGCAAACAGG
rnacentral:rRNA from 1 species